rnacentral:rRNA from 1 species
UGGGGAAUAUUGCACAAUGGGCGAAAGCCUGAUGCAGCGACGCCGCGUGAGGGAUGACGGCCUUCGGGUUGUAAACCUCUUUCAGCAGGGACGAAGCGCAAGUGACGGUACCUGCAGAAGAAGCACCGGCUAACUACGUGCCAGCAGCCGCGGCAAUACGUAGGGUGCAAGCGUUGUCCGGAAUUACUGGGCGUAAAGAGUUCGUAGGCGGUUUGUCGCGUCGUUUGUGAAAACCAGCAGCUCAACUGCUGGCUUGCAGGCGAUACGGGCAGACUUGAGUACUGCAGGGGAGACUGGAAUUCCUGGUGUAGCGGUGAAAUGCGCAGAUAUCAGGAGGAACACCGGUGGCGAAGGCGGGUCUCUGGGCAGUAACUGACGCUGAGGAACGAAAGCGUGGGUAGCGAACAGG